AUGCCUUAAACUUAUGAGUAAGGAAAAUAAUGAACCAGGGUGACGCUCGGGUCCUCACUGCCUAUGUGAUACGAAGUUUUGUGAGGGUAAAGGUCCCCCGUUGGUGACCUGCCUACUAUGCAGGAUGCACAAGGGGUGCAUUCUGUCCG